UACGUAGGGAGCGAGCGUUGUCCGGAUUCAUUGGGCGUAAAGAGCUCGUAGGCGGCUUGGUAAGUCGGAUGUGAAACCUCCAGGCUCAACCUGGAGUCGCCAUCCGAUACUGCCAUGGCUAGAGUCCGGUAGGGGCCCACGGAAUUCCUGGUGUAGCGGUGAAAUGCGCAGAUAUCAGGAGGAACACCGAUGGCGAAGGCGGCUCUCUGGGACGGUACUGACGCUGAGACGCGAAAGCGUGGGGAGCGAACAGG
rnacentral:rRNA from 1 species